GACGUCGGUUACAGAGAGUCUGUGAGAGAAACGUCCACGAGUUCUAUCCAGUAGGCGCACGAGUAGCACCAUCAUCAUCACCACAUUAACCCCGUUCGAAGAUACCCGCGGGGAACAGACUCGCAUGCGCGUUUAGUCGAUUCUCGCGCUUCGAGUUUGGGCGAUCGCGUUCAGUGAAAGAAAACUAAAGAGAGGGUCGCUCGCACACCCCGAAAUGACGUUUUCUCUGAGGUGCAUUCGGUGAAUUUAACGGAGUGCGCUCGUUAACGACGUAUUAAUUAUUGUUCCGAAUCGGAAUACCGGUACCGGAACAGCUUCCGCGACAGUUUUCUGGAACAAGAGGACGUCAAGGCCGGAGAUUUACGCACGAAAUGGAACGCAGGACGCUUUGGUUGCUUUUCAUCACUUUAGUUGUGAAAGGAUCCAAUGCAGGUUCGGCAGGCACCGGAUGUGGUUAUCCGGGUGCACCGGCACAUAGCAGCGUGCGUUUUGCCAUCAGAAAUAUCGACCACAUCAUAGACGAAGAGGAUGCCCUUCUUAAUGAUACCACGUUACCGGAGGGCACCGUAGCUACGUAUUCCUGCGAACGAGGGUUCGAGCUUUUGGGACCAGGGCAAAAGACAUGUAAACUCGACGGCGACACAUACAUGUGGGAUCCUGAUGGCGUGCCCUUUUGCGUUCUGAACGUGGCAGGCGGCAAAGCGCCGAUGCAGUCCAGCACCAUGGACGGAGCAGCUCCGCAACACGCGGUCGAUGGAAGUAGCAGCCAGGUAUACGUACGGGAUACCUGCACCCUGACGAGGCCCGAGCGCAAACCAUGGUGGUACGUGAACCUAUUGGAACCGUACAUGGUGCAGCUGGUACGACUGGACUUCGGUAAACCGUGCUGCAGUAGCUAUGGCACUAUCACCGUCCGAGUUGGUAAUAAUCGACCAGACUUAGGAACGAAUCCCAUUUGCAAUCAAUUCACCGGAACUGUAAAGGAGGGGGAUCCUCUCUUCUUGCCUUGCAAUCCGCCGAUGCCCGGAGCUUUUGUCUCUGUGCAUCUGGAAGUUCCGAAGGGCGUCGGUAUUCUCCCGCAGUUGUCUUUGUGCGAAGCCUUCGUCUAUACCGAUCAGGCCUUGCCGAUCGAGAGGUGUCCUCAAUUCCGGGACCAACCGCCGGGAUCAACGGCGACUUACAAUGGCAAGUGCUACAUAUUUUACAAUCGCAAUCCACUGAUAUUCACAGAAGCUCUGGAAUUCUGUCGCGCGCGAGGUGGCACCCUCGUGGAUGAGAGCAAUCCCGCUCUGCAGGGAUUCAUCUCCUGGGAAUUAUGGAGGAGGCACAGAAGCGACACAGCCAAUCAGUAUUGGAUCGGCGCAAUUAGGAACUCUAAUGAUCGGACGUCGUGGAAGUGGGCUGGAAGUGGUGAAGAGGUGUCUAUUUCGUUCUGGAGCUUCCCGCAAAGUACCGAGGAAAACUGUGCUCGGUAUGACGGCAGUAAUGGCUGGCUUUGGUCCGCUACAUCUUGUACAGCACGACUUUAUUUCAUCUGUCAGCAUCAACCACGAGCUUGCGGUAGACCCGAACAACCACCAAAUUCCACGAUGCUAGUGGCCAGCAGUGGGUCAACCAACACUCCCAGCAACAUAUACGAAGUCGGAGCGACCGUAGAGUACAGCUGUAACGUGGGUAGCCUUCUGAUCGGACCGUCGGUCCGCACUUGCCUCGACACCGGUUUCUACAACGAGUUUCCGCCAGUGUGCAAAAGUAUUGAGUGCGGUUAUCCCGCGAGCAUAAGGAACGGCGGUUACACGCUCAUCAAUAACACUGUCAGUUUUCUCAGUCAAGUGCUUUAUUCCUGCGAUGAGGGAUACGAGAUGACCGGACGUGCCCUAUUGAUGUGCGACGUCGACGAGCGUUGGAAUGGACCACCGCCGCGAUGCGAGCCGAUUCGCUGCGCUCCACCGGCUGCGAUCGCGCACGGUUAUAUCGAGAUUGAGAAAAUAGACAAGGAUGAAAGUGUCUCAUUGAAGAAUAACUUCAACCGAAGUCUGCUGGUUAACAGCGUUGUCACGUACACGUGUGAGAAAGGCUACCGGCUCGUUGGUUCUCGGCAAAUAACAUGUUUAAGUACCGGAUUCUACGAUCGAGUCGCACCUACCUGUACAGAAGAUUCACGGACUACCGUGAUCCCUCCUACUCGAGGGACGAUACGUUCGACCACUGUAAAAACUCGACCGUACCUCACCCCAAGGGUCAGGACAACAACAAGUACCAGCACGGCAACUACCAGCACAACUUCUCAGCCGUCUAGAAAUGUACCUGGCACUGCGGAACUCCCAGCGACGGUGAGGGAAACAGUCUCGAGGAGGCCAAGCAUUGGCCUGAAACCCAUACAGCCUUCGUCGGCGGAUACCGGUAGCGAGCAUCCGCAAGACAACGAGAUAUCCCAGAGCGUCGACCACGCACAAGCGGGAAUUGGUGCGGGCGUGCCGGAACCGUCUGGUCCUUUCCGAGUGGAUAGCGCUGAGCAUCCCAGUGGCACUCAUCAGGCCAAGCUGAAUCUGGGGGCCGUGAUCGCUCUGGGAGUAUUUGGCGGCUUUGUGUUCCUCGCCGCGGUGAUCACGACGGUCGUUAUUCUCAUACGCAGCGGCAGUGGCAGCGUCAGAGGAAGGCGCCGCAGGGGGCUCGGUGGGGUUGGUGCGCUGAGGGGUGGCGGUAGUGGUGGCCUUGGGAGGGGCGACACCGGGAUGCCCUCGCGAUGGUAUACGCUACUCGCGCUACCCUUCCCCGACCAGCACCUGGGGCGCCGCGACCUCACGGCACGCCGCGGUAGCGAUCAUCCUUACUCCUUCAGCCUGUCAGCGGCGCAUCGCGCCGGCUACUUCUCGAAUCCCUCUCUGUAGAACGCUAUCGCCGCCCCUCCCUCUCAUCCCGCCGUAAAAAGACAGAGAAAACAAAGCAAAAGAGAGAACCAUUCCACCCUUUAAUAAAGCAACCUACAACCACCACUACCACCCCGACCCUCCACGCAACCACCGCCCACCACAUCAACUAUCAUCACGUACCAGCUACCACGCGCCACCCUCGCGAGUGAUACUAGUCAAGAAAUCGCGGAAGAAGCAGCAAACAUUAUCGUCACCGUGCAUCACCCGAUUGCAAUACCGUCGCCAGUUUCGACAGCAGUUCCUCGGAG
rnacentral:misc_RNA from 1 species